UUAGAUCUGUUUAUCGCGAGUCCGAGGU
rnacentral:piRNA from 1 species